GAGUUUGGUGAUUAAAAGCAAAGAGAAGUGAAGUUACCAUUGAAGCAAAGGUUGGAGAACCAUCCUCAAAGGGUAAAGAGAAAGCCAAGCAGUAAGGCUUUCCAAGCUUAUUCAAGCUUGUUAAUAAGCACCACUGAGUCUUCCACUCAGCGCGUUGAUUUUUAUCACGCGCAAGUUAGGAGCGGAGGGUGUUCUUCAAGACCA